UACGUAGGUGACCAGCGUUGUCCGGAUUACUGGGCGUAAAGAGCGCGCAGGCGGUCGUUCAAGUCGAGUGUGAAAGCCCCCGGCUCAACUGGGGAGGGUCAUUCGAUACUGAUCGACUUGAAGGCAGGAGAGGGAAGUGGAAUUCCUAGUGUAGCGGUGAAAUGCGUAGAGAUUAGGAAGAACACCAGUGGCGAAGGCGGCUUUCUGGACUGUAACUGACGCUGAGGCAUGAAAGCGUGGGGAGCAAACAGG
rnacentral:rRNA from 1 species